rnacentral:rRNA from 1 species
UACGUAGGCAGCGAGCGUUGUUCGGAGUUACUGGGCGUAGGAGGUGUGUGAGCGGUUCUUUAAGUUUGGUGUGAAAUCUCCCGGCUCAACCGGGAGGGUGCGCCGAAUACUGAGGGACUUGGAGUAUGGGAUGGGAAAGUGGAAUUCCUGGUGUAGCGGUGAAAUGCGUAGAUAUCAGGAAGAACACCCGUGGCUAAGGCGGCUCUCUAGUACGGUACUGACGCUGAGACGCGAAAGCGUGGGGAGCGAACAGG